rnacentral:lncRNA from 1 species
GCACUUGUCGGAAGCCUCUUUGCAGAUGCAGCCCUGGGAGCACUUCGCACAGCCCACGGGGCAGCAGGAGCAGCAGCCUGUGGGGAGAGAAGAGUUGAACGUGAGCGAGAAACCUUGUCAGAGGCACACCACCUGAACGCUCCCGGGAGGGAAGGCGCGGCGCGGCGGGCUAGGGACCCCAGGAGAGUGACGGGGAAAUGGCAGAGAAGAUCCAACUUACUUUUCUUGCAGGAAGUACAUUUGCAUUGUUUGCAUUUGCAGGCGCCAGCGCAGGAGCAGGAUCCAUCUAAAAGUAGAAGGCAGUCAGUGAGCGCGGUUGAGUGGGACCCGGGAGUACCUGAACGCUGUUCUCCUAGGAAGGUGAGGCAAAUCACCCGGGUAGGCGAGCCACUAUCUCAAGGACUAGUUUAAAGGAGCAGGAGUGCUUCAGAAUUCAUUCGGAAGGGGUAGCCGGUCGUACCCUUAAAGUAAUUACUAAAGGAGGGGCCAAAAAGCCUGUCUAGCUCUCCCAGAAAUCCCGUCAGCAGUCCCCCUUACCGGAGGCACAGGAGCAGUUGGGGUCCAUGGCGAGUGGAGGCGGCGGUUGAAGAUCGACGAGAGAUCGGUUUGAAGAGUUCUAGGAGCGUGAUGGAGAGAAGCACGCGGAGCGCGACCUUUAUAGCGGAGAGUAUUGGGUCGAGCGCAAAAGCUCCGCCCGGGUGGAAGGCACCAUGCACGCGCCCCCGCCGCCUGCACACGCCCUUUUUCUGGCUCAAGGGAUAUGGCCAGCACACGCCCCUGGGCCUGCGCACGACCCGAAUUCUGCAAGCGGCCCUCUUUUUGCUCGUGGGACAGAGCCUGCACACGCCCUCCCCCCACCCCCCGCGCUGAGUCACACCCCCUUUCUCUGGGCUCAGGGACUGAGAGCAAAGGAGCUGAGCGCAAAGGGUCUGCGAUCCGGUGGGAACCGGUUCCAGGACACCUGCUUGCUCCCGCGCGCGCCCUUUGCGGUGCCCCGGGGCCCGAGGGGCCGGGUGCAGAGGCGAUGCUGAGCGACGAGACCUCUGGCCGCCCAGAUCACGCCACGGGGACACAGUUUCCGCGCAUGUCUUGUGUGCUAACCUGGGUGAAAGCGGGGCUUGGAGACCCUGCGUACAGGAAAACUUAGCUGGCAGUGUGAACCGGUUACAAAAACCAGCCCUACCCCUGGCUUAACUGCUGUUGGUGAUGUACUCCUGCCCCCCUGCGUGUCACGUGCUGCGGGCACCGUAAGAGCUGUCGUUUUUCCUUACAAACGCUGGUUGGAGUGUUCAUUAUUCUCACCGUAGAAAAGUGGAAACGGAGACGCAGUCACAUAGUCACUUGCCCAAGAUGAGUGUAGGGUUCGAAUCCACUAAGGCACCAGCCAGUUGUCAAGAGACUAGAGACCAUAGACACAAGCCUUGUGCUAAGACUUACUCUUGGGGGGCGGGGGGAGGGCAGCGAGUGACAGGAAAAAAUGGUGGGGGUCUUUGCUGGAGGUGGAAUUCAAGAGAACGAAAGCAGUCCAUUCUGGGAGGAUAUGGACCAGGGCCCUUUGCCAGGGUGUUUGCCAAGUAGGAAGGGCCAGAUGGUGGUGUUCUGAAACACACGGAUGGAAAGCCCCACGUAACCCGACCCACCUCCACCCACGGGUGGAUGCUGAGGGGAAGGGUGGAGAUGGCAGCCAAAAUUUCUUCCCCUGGAGGUACAUGGUGUUUCCCCACUUGCUUAAGUCUGCUGAAAUCAGACUGGAAGUCAUAGCUGGAAUGUCUGUGUCAUCUGCAGAGCCAGGAAACUGGUGCCGGAAGCUUCCCGGCAGGCCGACUCGGAUACUUUCAACGGAGGCUGUGGGUGGGUUGUAACAGGACAGGCUGUCCUCGCAGCUCUUAGUGAAAACUGGGGCAAUGCCUUCUUGACUCAUUCCAGGCAUUACUGGAUGCCCACGGCUGUCCAUGGAUUGUGUGAUUAAACACCGUGUCCUUUCCCUUCCUGGCACUUUCUGUGGCUGCCCUGGCUAUGAACUUGAACCGGAUUGAUUUCUGGGCUCCCGUGCUCCCUUUCCAGACUGACCCCAGAGCAGUCUUUGCUGUAACUCCAGCCUCAAGCCAGGAUGUUGUUGGCAGUCACCGCUGGCCAAGUCCCGUAAAUUCAUGGAGGUAACUAACCCACGGUACGGUUAUUCCUGCCCAGUUCUCACUUCCCGCUAGGACUUAGAUUUUGAAAAUGGAAGUACGUCGUAGACUGGAUGUAUCCGCCAGUUCCUUUAAUCAGAGCACUCAAGAGGCAGAGGCACGUAAAUUUCUGUGAGUUCAAGGUCAGCCUAGUCUACAUAGUGAGUUCCAGUCCAGCUUUGGCUAUAAGGUGAGACCCUGUCUCAAACAAACAAAAAAUACAAGCAACAAUGAAAAAGGAAGUCAAGUUUGAAUGAUGUGACCCAGGCUUGUAAUCUUAGCACUCAGAGGCCCAGCCAGGAUUGUGAAAGUCAGGCUGACCUGGGUAUAUACUUAUUGUUAGUCUUAACAAUAAAUAGAUAGACGAAUAAGGGCUAGGAAUGAAGUGUAAGGUCGAGGGCUUGCUUAGCAUAUGUGAGACCCUACGUUUAAUCCCCAGCAUGACAUUUUAAAAAAUAUAUGUGUAAAUAAAUAAAAGCUUGAAGAAGUC